GAGCCGGGAGCACGGUGGAGCGGUGGAGGGCGUCACUGGGUUUCGGCGUCUGGCAAGCGGUUCAGCUGUCUGCUCCCUAGCAGCCGGCCUUCGGGUCGGGCGUCUCCGCCGGCUACUGCCGCUUCAGUUCUCCCGGUGUGGCCACGAGUCGGAUUUUGGAUAUAAGUAAUGUGCAGGUUUCUUACAUGGGUACAUUGGAUGACACUGAGGUUUGGGGUACUGUUGAUCCCAUCAUGCAGGUUGCACUGCUGUGAUCCAUCCUCAUCUCCUAAAGAUGCAUCCUGACUUAUCUCCACACUUGCACACUGAAGAAUGCAACGUCUUGAUUAACUUGCUUAAGGAAUGUCACAAAAAUCACAACAUUCUGAAAUUUUUUGGUUAUUGUAAUGAUGUUGAUCGGGAGUUGAGAAAAUGCCUGAAGAAUGAGGUUCUUGCUCUGUCACCUAAGCUGGAGUGCAGUAGGGUGAUCGUAACUCACGGAAGCCUCAAACUCAAGUGAUCCUCCCACCUCAGCCUCCUGAGUAGCUAGGACGACAGUACGUAGAAAACAGGACCAAGAGCAGGGAGCAUGGCAUUGCAAUGCGAAAGAAACUUUUUAAUCCUCCAGAGGAAUCCGAAAAAUAAAUUGUAUUUUCACUCGAUGCCUUGGCUGAGAGAAGACCUAAAGACUCUGGGUUGAUACCUGAAAGAAUCCUGUCUUAUUUGGUCUCCAUAAUCCUUUGAAUGGAAAGUGACCUGUGAGAGAUUGAACCAUGGAGAAAUAUGAAAACCCUGGAUUCUGAGUAUUUGUUGGGCAGGGCGUUUAGUACUGUCUCCCCUUUACCAGCAAACCUGACUUCACCAUGUUUAUUCCCUUUGCCUACAACCAGUUAAUAUCUGAGUAACUUAUCUCCUUCAAUAAAAUAAUUUAAAUAAUUUUUUUCUCCUUUCUCUUAGAUUCUUUUGGCAUUAGAGGAAAAUGUUGCCAUUAGGCUUUUUCUUUUUGACAACAUGAUGUUGAAGAAUUCUGGGGAAAUCCCAGCAGUGUUAACUAUUUGAAAAUGUUGCAACUUUAUUGUUUUUAAAGAGUGAUUUUCUAAAUGAUUAAAAAAAAUUUUUUUUUUGAGACAUAGUGUUACUUUGCUGCCCAGGCUGGAGUGCAGUGGUGCGAUCUCAGCUUACUGUAACCUCCACCUCCCGGAUUCAAGUGAUUCUCCAGCCUCAGCCUCUCUAGUAGCUGGGGCUACAGGCGCAGGCUACCAUGCCUGGCUGGUUUUUGUAUUUUUGGUAGAGACAGAGUUUUGCCAUGUUGGCCAGGCUGAUCUCAAAUUCCUGAGCUUAGGUGAUCCGCCCACUUCAGCCUCCCAAAGUGUUGGGAUUACAAGCGUGAGCCACUGUGCCCAGACUAAAAGAUUAAAUAUUUACACUUAACAUUGAUAAAAUUUCAUCUGGUUAGGAAUUGAGUCUUAGCAGACUUUGCUUUCCCAUUUGGUUGAAUGUGUCCACUCGAGGUGCCAGUUAACUCCUGGACAUUAACCUUAGGCCAGUGUGUCUCCUCUCUGCUGAGUAUAGGACUGUUCUUCCCGUGCCCAAUUCUAGCAGUCAUUUCACCAGUGUUCCUUCUGCCAAGUGUUUCUGAGACCUGUGACAAUCUGGAAGUCAGCAGCUUCCAGCUGCAGUCACAGCAGGGGCUUGAUCUUGUCAGGUGUCAGGGAACAGACUCAGCUGUGAGCUCCUUCUAGUGGAGUUCUGUGUAUAAUAUCCAGCAUGAGGCCUUGUUGGUGUUGGUGUUUAAUAAGUGACUUCCCCAUCACAGGAGGUAUUCAAGAAGCUGGACUUUCGCUCAGUACGUCGAUUACAGAGCAUAACAGACAUUCAGUGAAAGGAUGGGGAAAGAACCAGAAUUAAUUCUGAAGUACCUUCCAAGACAAAGUGUAUGAAUAUUUAUUCAGUCCCCCUAGUGUCAGGCAGUAGAAAUACAGAAAUGAGACAUUUUGCCUUUAGAAUCUUGUAGUUAACUGAAAAGUUGACUUUUAGUCACCUGUAAUCAUCAAAGUGCCAUGAUUAGGUAGAUGUCAUAGAAGACAGAGGACUUUCAUGUUCAGUCUUCAUGAAGAAGGAGCUAUUCCAAGAAAGCUAUUUAGCAAAGAUGACCUUUGACAAAUGAGUGAAAAUGGGAUACAUUCUGAGGCGCACUUUAAGGCAUUUAGCAUGACUAGAAUAUGGGAGCUUAGAGUGGAGGAAGAUCAUAGACAGCUUUGAAAUCUGUUGGAAUUUUAUUUUCAGUGCUGUGAUGACCAGUUGCAGGUUUUAAUAUGGUGAUUAGGGAUUUGGGUAGAGGAGUUAGUUGGAAGGCUGAUAUAUUUCAAUUUGUAUUUUAGUAAGUUUUUUUGGUUAUAGUUUGGGGGAUAAAUUGGAGGGGAAGGAAGAUAACGCCCAAGGAGAGCAAUUAGGUUUUUGUGCUAACUUGAGUGAGAAAUGAGGGCCUGGAUGAAAGAUGUGGCUUUGGGGAUUAGGAGGAGUGACGAUUCAAGCAUUGAGUCAGCAUGACUGACUAGGUGUAGGGUUUAAGGAAGUGUCUAGGAUGUCUCAGGCAUUUGAUUUGUGCCUGCUUGGGAGGGAGUACUGGGGAGGUGAAGUGUGUGUGGAGGAUCCAGCGGGAGAGGGCUUCCGGGUUGCUGCUGGGUAUUUAGGUCUGCAGCUUGUUAGAGUCACCUGGAUUAGAACAAAAUUGGGAGAUGUCAGCAUGCAGAUGCCAGCUAAGGCCCUGUAGGCCAAUGUCAGUAGCUGACCAUAAGAGCAGGAUGAAACUUUGGAAGUUCAUUCUUAAAAAUUUUAUAAGUAAUAUAUGAGUACGUUUUUAUGGGAUAUUCAAACCACCUACUGUUUUUAGGUCUUACUCUCUUGUGUUGCAGCUGUUGCUGAUCCCUGUAGAGUAAAGUACACACUGAAGGCUAUGGCAAUGAUCUACCUUUCCAGCUUCCUCUAGGAAGGGAGUUUGACAAAUAAAAUGCUAGUGAACUGGAGCACAGUGAGCAAGGGGGAGGGUGGCAUGAGCUGAGGACACAGGUGGGCAGGGCCAGAACACACAGGCCUUGGACAUCACCUCAGGGAACUUGCAUGUUAUUUGGAGCAUAAUGGAAAACCAUUAGAAAGUUUUAGGGAGUGGUUAUGAUUUCAUUUAUUUAUAUUUUAUAAAGAUCUUUCUGGUUAUUCGGUGAAUAGUUAUGGUUAAACCAGUUCAACCCAGUGACAGUACCUGUCACAUAGAGUUAUUGUGAGGAUUGGUUGAGAUGUAUGUGAUAGAUUAUCUGGCACAAAGUAAGGGCCCCCUCAAUAUUGUUUUUCUCUCAAGUGCACCCAAAUUGGGGUAUUGGAAACACUUCCUCCGUAGUUUGGUAGAAGGCACCAAAUCACUAGGGCUGAUACCGUUUGAGUGGGGCCCCAGCUGAUGGGGCAGGGGGUAAAGGGGUGAGGGGCUUAAUAUGAGGCAGAAGGAAGGGCCAGGCCUCUAGAACUCAUCCCAAGCCGGCCCCAUUCUCUGGCUCCCUGUACAUCCUGCCUUUCCAUAGAGGAAGCCAGUCCCAGGGGUGGCUGCAUCUUAUUCCAUGCUUUACAUCUCAUCAGCCUUGCUGACUUUCCCCAGCCUGCUGUAGAUCAGAGUGAAAUCUGUUUCUCCUGUCUAGAGCAAGCGCACUUUUUCCUGAGGAUUUCCAAAUAUUUUGAAUUCCCAUAUGCAGUGGAAGCCGAAGAAGCUGGAGGGAGAGUGGGGUUGGGAGGUGCAGAGGUUCCAUGUCUUCUUGCCUUUAUGAAGCUUCUGGCAUUGUGCUGGGUGCAGGUGAUACCAUGGAAUAAGAUGGAUGUGGUUCUAGUGACGGUUCACAUCACGAAGGACCAUCUGUGUCCUCUUAGGGAGUCUGGCUUUCCUGCUAAGGGCAACAGGAAGGCAUUGUAGGGUCUGUGCAGGAUACCAAGUGAAGGAAGAGAUUUCCUUACUGUGGACUUGCAGACGAUAAGUAAACUUUUGGGUCAUAAGAGACCAUCUCUUGGAAGCUGAAGAACUUAGGCCAAGGUUUUCCUGAGAAAUCUAGUUUUGCAGAAUGUUGUGAACCUUGAUGCUCUGGUGACAGUGAAUUAAUGGUUUAUUUUAGGAAGCACUACACAAUUUUACUUAAGAGUGAGGCUAGAAAGUUGAGCUGUUUCUCACCUUUUAUAAAUGAAGUUUAAGAUCAGAUUAAUCUCCAUGGAGUUUUUAGCUCAAAGCACAAUUAGUUUUCUAUAGAAAGGGCUUGGGCUGAACCAAAUUAUGCCAUUGAUCUGCCUGGUAGACAUACAAAUCAUUCUGUUCUUAGAAAAAAACAAAAAAAACGAAAAACAAAAAAUCCUCACUGUCCCAAGGGAGUUGCUCCUUUCACUACACCCUGAUAUUGAAACCCUGAUAUUGAAAUUUGUGCCCCUUAAAUGAUAUCAUAUUCAGGGAACCAGCUAUACCAGAAUCUACCUUAAUCCAUAGACAUCCCUGCCUCCUCUAGAGAGGUCACUGAAGGAGAUAAGUACAUAGCAGAAAGUGGUGAAGGGAAAGCAAAGGGAUGCUUUAUUGUUACCAGUCUCCUGCCUCUGGUAUCAGAUGGAGCAGGUGGCCUGGGCUAGAGGCCUGUGGGGCCAUUUCUGUCCUCUAAGCUCUAGUCUGAUCUCACCGGCAGCUGGUCACAUGGGAGGACAGGAGAUGGAGAACAAGACUGACAGUAGGGAGGGGAGAGCAGAGACAGGUGGCUGAGUUUCUCUCACUUAGAGAAAAGAAACUGGCUGAGUGUAUACCACGUCUGAAGUGAGCAAAAGGGAAGAUUGCCCAAAUCCUGUAAAGGACCUUUUUUGUGGUAUUAAUGCUAUUCUUUUUUAUGACAAAAUGUUUCAGGUUUACAGAAAACUAUACAGACUAAUACGAACACUCACAUAGCUGCUAUCUAAGUCAUACUUUUAAAAAAUACAGGUUUAAAAAAAUAAUAAUACAAAAGUGGGUAAAGCCUCCUGUGUUUGUCACCCCAAGCCCGUUCCACUUAUUUCUUUAUUGGUGGUAACUACUACCCUGACUUUGAUAUAUUUCAUUCUCAUGCAUGAUUUCAUACAUAUAUAUAUAUGCAUGAUUUCAUACAUAUAUAUAUAUAUAUAUAUAAAAUGUAUGUAUGUCAGUAUCCAUAGCCAUAUUUUAUUUUGCAUGUUUAGUCAUUUUACUUAGGAGGCGUCAUGAUGUGUGUAGCCUUUGGUAGCGUACCUUUUUUUUUUAAAAAAAAAAUACUAUGUUGAUAAAUGAGGUUCUUGUUUAUUUGUUUUGCCUGCUAUAUAGCAUUUUGUUGUAGGCCUAUACCACGGUUUAUGUAUUUCCCCGUAGAUGGUCACUUAGAUAUCCAGUCUUUGCUAUUGUAAACUUCAAUGAACGUUCUUACUUACCUUCUUGUCCAAUCUGGGAGAGUGUUUUUAGGUAUAAACCUAGGAUUUUAAUUAUUGGGCUGUAAGGUAUGCAUUUUCAAACUUACUAGAAGUUGCUAAAUUACACCCCAAAUGUUUUUAAGAUUUUAUGAUUUGUAUUUUUGUUGUUGUUUUUUGAGACAGAGUCUCACCCUGUCACCCAGGCUGGAGUGCAGUGGUAUGAUCUCAGCUCGCUGCAACUUCCACCUCCUGGCUUCAAGCAAUUCUCGUGCCUUAGCCUCCUGAGUGGCUGGGACUACAGGCAUGUGCCACCAUGCCCUGCUAAUUUUUGUAUUUUUUAGUAGAGAUAGGGUUUCACCAUGUCCAGGCUGGAAAAUUUUAUGAUUUUUAAAAUAGUGUUCUUAUACAUCUUUUGCUAGAUUUGUGUCUAAGGGGUAUUUUUAAAAUUACUUAUUCUAAUAUCUCUUAAAAUUUUUUUAUAAAGCAGGGAUUAUAGGCAUGAGCCCCUGCAUCCAAUUUAUUCUAAUUUCCUAUUACUGAUACAUUGGAGUGUAAUUGACUUCUGUAUAUUUAUCUUACAUUCAGAAGGCUUGCCAAACUUUCUUAAUAAUUCUGGGGCCUAUAGAUUAUUUUAGAUUUUUCUAUGUAGACAGUCACAUCACUUUUGAAUAGUAACAGUAAUGAAUCAUUUGUUUCUUUCCAAUGUUUAUACUUCCUUAUUUUAUUGUACUUAGAACAUUCAGUAUAAUGUUUAAUAGAUACAUCAGACUUCUCUUGUGACUGAUGUUAAAUCCUUACAUUUCACUGACAAGUAGCAAAUUUGUAGUAGGUUUUUGGAAGAUGUCUGUUCCUCCCUAAGGAAGUUCCUUUUGGUAAUUGUAGAUAGACUUGCUCAACCUCUACUGCACCUCCUUCUAGUGUGCCUUCCCAUAUUUGUGAAACUCAAAAGCUAAAUACUGCAUUUUCUCCAAUUCCUUUACAGUUAGGAUUCCAGAUAGGAAUUAAUGUCCAUUAAUCGGUGAGAUUUGGAUUUGGAAUUGACUUAAAUUGAGAGAGAGACGGUCCAUGAAGCAUCCAUUUUCUGGUAUGGAUCAGAGCAGAAAUGGUGGGGUUAUAGAGCCUGCAACUGUAGCCGCAGUUUUCUCUUUUUUGCUAGACAGCUUUUUAAUUGCAAUGUGGCUCUGAAGUUUCUUCAUCCCUCCCAAUGGUCAGGUAAGUUAUUUAAAUACCUGUCUGUCAUUGCUUACUACACUGUCCUUUUAAUCUUCAUUAUAUAAACAAUAAAGACAUACUUAAUGCUCACCGCUAGUCUUGUGUUAAUAUCUCCCUAGUCAUUUUGGUUGUCUGAGCCUCAUUUUCCAGCAGAUUCCUAAGGAAGUUCUCAUGGGAACAAUAUUCCAUGGGUUUUUUUCUUUUCUAAUUGAGACGGAGUCUUGCUGUGUCACCCAGGCUGGGGUGCAGUGGUGUGAUCUUGGCUCCCUGCAACCUUGCUGCCUGGGUUCAAGUGAUUCUUGUGCCUCAGCCUCCCAAGUAGCUGGGAUUACAGGCAUGCACCAUGAUGCCCGGCUAAUUUUUUUGUCCUUUUAGUAGAGACGGGGUUUCACCAUGUUGCCCAGGCUGGUCUUGAACUCCCGACCUCAAGUGAUCCACCUGCCUCGGCCUCCUGAAGUGCUGGGAUUACAGGCCUGAACCACCGUGCCUGGCUCUCUUCAUCACUUCUGUUGUCCCUAUCCUGUUCAAUUUUUUUUCUGCUCCCUGCAGUUCCUCCUCACUUUGGAGUCUUGUCCUGGGAGGGAACCCUACGGGAUCAGUUUUGAGAGUUCAUUAAUGCUAAAUUGUUCCAGCCCCUUCAGACCUUCCUGUGGGCCCCAUUUACUGAAGUGGGCAAGAACCUUCCCAGUACCAAUUGCUGUUCUCAAAUUGGCCCUCCGGGCUUUGCAGUGAAUAUCUGUUGUUUUGGGUUCUUCGGUCCUUAGUUGGUUCAGGUACCUUGUGCCUCCCUGUGCUGCUUUCCACAUCGAUGCUGAGACCUCCCAGGACUCCUCUGGCUCUUGAUGCUCUGUCCUCACCUCACUCAUUUGUAUUUUGGGAUAUGAGGGUUACAUUUUAACCUAAUUUUGUUGUAAAUACUGUCUCUCCUCCUGCCCUUUUUAUAUCAUAAAAAAGAUAGUUGCUUCCACAGUCACAACUAUCUUUCCAGAAUUUCCCACCAGUAACUUUCUGACACACACACUUAACUUACCAAUGGGAAACAUAUUUUUUCUGCUCAGAGCCCAAGGUGAGUCACACUGGCCUUACUCUUACCUCCCUAUGCUGGCAAGUGUUAUGUUUUCUAGUUAAUGUUUUCUUAGAGGAUUACCAUCUCCUGGCUUUAUGUGAUAUUCUUGUUUCUCACACCAUUCCUCGUAGAGACUCAGUAUCUUCCAUCUUUUUCCAUUGUGUUUAUGAAAACCUCACUUCCUGGUACCUGGAACUGGUCUAGGCUGCAUAGCAUGUGCUGAUGCACUUACUUUCUGGUUUACAGUUCUCUCUGAUUUCAACCCCCAAGGAUUUUCUUUCCUUUCUUGUGAGCUCAACUACACCUUUAAAAACUAUAUUUGAUAUAUGCUAUCUAGUAUUUGUAGAUAGCUUUUUAGCAGGAGUGUUUUCAGAUUACCUAAUGAGCUAUUUUACCAGAAACAGAUAUCCUGUACAUAAAAUUUUACCUUGGAAAGACUGCCCCCUAGGAAUGAUUAUAUUUUCAACAGUUAGAGAACUAACUCAUUCCUAGAAGAUGGGGGGAGGAUGGGAGUUGGGGAGGGCAUGGCAAAGAGAGGAGUUAUAAGAGCAUCUUCUGUUCAGAGACCUUCAUCUUCAUCUGCAUUUGGGCCAUUAGACUGUGGUCCGUGGGCCAGCAGCUUUAGCGUAACCCGGGAAAGUUUGUUAGCAACGCAGAAUCUCAGCCGUGUGGGGUGGCUUGCGCCUGUAAUCCCAGUACUUUCGAAGGCCGAGGUGGGAGAAUUGCUUGAGGCCAGGGAGUUCAAGACCAGCUUGGGCAACAUAGUAAGACCCUGUCUCUACAAAAAUAAAAAUAAAAAAAAGAAAUGGAGAGUUUUAGACCCCACCCUGACCUACUAACUGAGAAUCUGCAUUUUAAUGAAAUCCCCAGAUGAUUUGCAUGCAUAUAAAAAUUGGAGAAGCAUUGACUUAGACUCUUUCUGAUGUAACUGCCUUCCAUAAAAUGCCUACUUCUUUAGGGUUAAUGACCUUCAUCCACUCUUGUCAUCACUUCUAGCUUACUCUUUUUUCUGCAUUUAAUUUUUAAGCAGUUUCCUCAAAUAACUUUUGUAUUUAAGUUUUUGAGAAAAGUUCUUAUUGGUGAUAUAUUAUGUUGAGAAUGUGAUUUGAAAAAAAAAUAGGAAGCGUUAAUAUGGUAUGUUGUCAUUGAAUAUGACAGCAAAAUCUUAAGGGCAAAGCUGUUACGAAAUUCUCAGGGCAUUUACUUUUUCCUCAACUCUGGCGAGUAGAGGGCUAAGAAAGUAAAGCAUUCUGCAAUUCUGCAUACAGAAAUUUAGACCUGGCUAUUUUUCACUGGAGUAUUUGCUUACAGAGCAUCCAUAUUUCCUAAAAUGCUAUGAUUGGAUUAUUGAGCUAAUGAUUGGACUUGCUACAAAUAUUGAAAAGUACGAGGAAGGCUGGGCGAGGUGGCUCACGCCUGUAAACCCAGCACUUUGGGAGGCCGAGGCGGGCGGAUCACGAGGUCAGGAGAUCGAGACCAUCCUGGCUAACACGGUGAAACCCCGUCUCUACUAAAAAUACAAAAAAUUAUCCGGGCGUGGUAGUGGGCGCCUGUAGUCCCAGCUACUUGGGAGGCUGAGGCGGGAGAAUGGCGUGAACCCGGGAGGCGGAGCUUGCAGUGAGCCGAGAUCGUGCCACUGCACUCCAGCCUGGGCGACACGGCGAGCUCCGUCUCAAAAAACAAAACAAAACAAAACAAAAAACGAGGAUAUCUUUUCAAAGCAGAUACAAUUAAAGGAAAAUUCUCUAGGGAUAGUUCAAGUUGCUGUGAUGGCUUUAUCUGCUAAAAUUUUAGUUAAGCUAGCAGAUAAUUUAUGAGCAAGUUCAUGAUACAUGGAAUUCAGGUUAUGUGUAGACUGAAAGCUCUCUGGGCUGACACCUCUCUGGGCAGACACCACAUUAUUCCUGUAUCUGCAGCUCUUAGGACAGUGGUUAACACAUAAUUGGUAUUCAAUAAAUGCUUUUUCACUGAAUGAAUGAAUUUUUAGUGAAUAAAGAAUAAAUAAAGUGUUGAAGUAGCCCAAAGGACUUUAAAAUUUACAUUUUCUUUUUCUGUAGAUCACUUGAUAGGUACAUUGUUGGAUGUAAUUAAAAUAAGACGGGCUCUAUAUGUCUACGAAUAGGACAGUAGUUAAAUAAACAAUGAUGCAUUUACACAAAGGUAUACCAUGAAUCUAUACAAAGGAAUGAAGAUUUCGUGUGUCUGUAUGUAUGACUAUAUGGUGAUUAUAUAAAGAAAAGAAGAAAUUCCUAAAACUUGAAAACAAGCUGAAACAAAUAACUCGAGUACAUGUCAAGUUGAUUUUAUAACCACAGAAAGGAAAUGAUUAUAAGUGUUGUUCAAAUACAAUAUUUUGACUUUACAUCUCCAGAAGGUGAUACAUCCUGAAGAUAAGGAGAACUGCAAAAAAAGUAAAACUUUAUAAUAAAAAUAAUAUUGUUUUGAAAUUGGUAUUAUAAAAUAUCACGUUUUAAAGUUAUGAUGUUAGUGUCAGUAGAAACCAAGAUUUUCAACCUAAGACCAAAACAAGAUACAAGUGUAAAAUUCAAGUCAAAACAUGCAUUAAAUUUGAAUUGGAAAUAGUA